AUUUGGCAUGAAUUAUAUUGCAUAAUUGAAAUUGAUUUCGAAUUGAUGAACUCUAUAUGCUUAUUUUCUAUAAAUAAUUAUUUACUUAUAUGCCUGAUGAAAUUUAUUGAGAAGUGAUCGUUGCUUACUGGGCUGUCUAGCUCAUUACCUCUUAUUUUACUAUUUUUACAGAUGUUGAGGAAUUAAGAUGAUACAAGAUAUGAAUGGAAGAGUGAUCAGAAGCAGAAUCUC
rnacentral:lncRNA from 1 species